rnacentral:tRNA from 1 species
GGACGCUUAGUUCAGAGGCUAGAACGCUGCCUUCACACGGCAGAAGUCGCAGGUUCGAAUCCUGCAGCGUCCA